CUGUGAGUUAUUUGUCAAAUAAAUCAGUGUAGCAGGCAGGAUCUCAUCUGGGUGUCUGUACAGGAUAGAAUCCCUGUGGAGUCGCAGCCAGGCAGAGCCUUCAGCCGGCCACAGGGUCAGCAAGAAGAGGAAGUGCACCUUGCCCCGUGCUUGUUCCUGUUCUCAAACGUGAAGAUCGCACUGCUGUGCUGCGAAUACCCUACUUCUCCUCCACAAAGCCACAUGUGCUUUUUAAUGAGAGCAGGUUUGUCUGCUUGGCUACCUAACAAAAAACGGGAACAUGACCGACGUCUGGCUGAGAAAAGAUUUUUGGGUAUUUUUUCUGACGGAAUGAAAGGGGUCGGAGGUGGUGUCUGUAUUCACUGAUGCUGCAGGAGACAGCUCCUGCUGGCGCGAGCAGGAGGUGACAGGAGAGUGGAAGAGCUGCCUGACGUGAUCACAGCUUGCGAUGGCACUGGGCCCUGCUGGUGACGCCUGAGGCCUAGGCGGUCCAGUGGCAAUGCGGGGGCCCAGCUCCUGUCCUUACUGCUGCCCAGUGGACACCUAGUCUCUGUAGGUCACAUUGGGUGAAUGGGGUGUACAAGUAUACUGCUGAAUGUUCUUCUUCCCUUUCUCCUGCUCUUCCUGGGUUCUGCUGAGGGGAAGACCUGCUGCUGGUGUGCGUUUCAUUGGAACGUGUGUGAAGGAUGAUCAUGAUCACGGUUUUGGUUUGAUCAGCACUUGGUUAUGUGUGGAGUCUAAAUCAAGAAUCCUUCAGGAACCAGCUGGGCAAGAUCAAUUCAGAACGUCAGAAAAAUUGCAAACAAGAGGAGGUUCUUCUGCUUAUCUGGCCUGGUUGGAAGUUUGUAGUCAGAUGAUCUGAAGAUCUCAUCCAGCUGUUUCUUGACAGAAGCCAAGGGAAAGGAGAGCACAUGAGGUUCUGCUUCGGCACCCGCUCCAGAGGAGACAGACCUUUCAUAUCUAAUAUUCAUUUUUCUUCAUAAUGGAACUGUCACAGAAAUGUGUCAUGAAAGGGCGAGCACAGCCCGUGUUUGGCCCCGUCUCCGCCGAAGCCCCAGCACUGUGGGAGGAACGAAACGCCUCUGUCCGGAGUGAUGGCGAGCAAUUCAUCACCCAAUAUCUGUGGCGUCUGAGUAAUUCACAGCGCGGAGACAGGGAGCCUGCCAGGACGGACACACACACGGUGUUGUGCAGUCGCCUUGUUAUCUUACGGUGUUUUACAUUCUAAAGGGGAGAAUGGAUUGCCUGGGACCUCGAGACGUAGGGUGGAUACAGGUGAAAGUCUUUUCUGCGACCAUUCCAGUUGACAGCCUGGUGCAGAGCUGGAAUAUGAAUUCAGCUCAGUUUAUUUGUCAGAUACACGAGUGCAAUGAAAUGCUUAUUGUACAGGUUGCUAAUUGUUUUAGAAAUGGCUACACCUUGGACGCCCCUGCAUUUAAAAAAAACCCUGCAGUUGUACAGGUAGCCCGAUUCAGCCCUGCACAGACCUGCGUGGCAUUUUUUUCAGAUUCAUUUCCUCUACCUCAGCUCACCUGUGAGAGGCUCCAGAGCUGACAUCGUGAAGCUCAGCUGCAAAGGAAUGGAAAUGUUUAGUUUGUGGAGUUACAGCAUCUCUUUGAACCUUCUCAGUGUAGAGAGUCACAGUGCAGUUCUGCGAGAUCAGACUGACGGUGAUUUUCUCUCUGUAGCUGUUCAGCAAACCAUUAUUCACAAAAACCUUUUAUACUCAAGAACAUCUCCUUUAAUUAUCCUAAAUGGCACCUGGAGAAGUAUAUUUACAAUAUUAUGCGGAGAAUGUUUAAAGUUACCUUUUUAUGUUUUAGACAGAUUUCUAUUUAAGUGAGACAGCAGUAUGUCUUACUCAGCCCGGUUAUAUACUGUAGCAUGUCUGGCACACAAGAAACCCUCCCCACAGAGAUCACAGUAAUCUACACAAGGAGCGACUGUUAUCAGCCCUCUCCUUCCAUGACUUUUCCAGUGCAAGUCGAGUUUUGAGUCAACGUGAGGAUGAGAUUUUGAAACAUUACGUUCUCAUUUCGUUAGUCGCGUUAAGAGGCUCAUCCGUGGGGUAGGGUUAACCACAGGUGGUGCACAUGUUGCACAGAACCAGCUAGGUGGGCAGUGGUGGGAGGGGGUCACUGGAGGGUAUGGGUUAUUUUGUGAGUCACCUAUGCCCCGUGUCUACGGGGUGGAGUGUUGUCAGUCAGAUUUUUCUACUGCUCUGCUGUUGCCACAGCCCCUUCCUUUCUGGCUGCGUUUCAAGACGAGCAUUUUCCAGCGCACAACCUGUUCGCUCGUCCGUCCACGGCCAUUGCGGAGAUGAAGCCAUGAAUCGGUUGAAUGGAGCUCGGCCUUGUGGCCUCGGCAGAAGGAAUCCAGUGAAGGCUUGGGAGCAGGAUUGCACCACUUCUGUGUUCCGUCCUCACGCUGACUGGGCAGCCUGUCAUUGAGCCUCAGGUUGGACUGGUGUGCUUUCUACUUUGUGAGGCCACUGCAGCAACCUUUUUACUGCUGGCAACCUUCCUUCUAGUGUUUCUAGUGGAACGAAAUGUCCUAGACUUGCAGUGAUGCCAUCAUUCCAGAUGCUGACUCUUUAAGUGGCGCUGUUGUCAGAUACGGCUUUGUGCUCUAAAAUUGAA